rnacentral:rRNA from 1 species
CCUACGGGAGGCAGCAGUGGGGAAUAUUGGGCAAUGGGCGCAAGCCUGACCCAGCAACGCCGCGUGAAGGAAGAAGGCUCUCGGGUUGUAAACUUCUUUUGACAGGGAAGAGUAGAAGACGGUACCUGUCGAAUAAGCCACGGCUAACUACGUGCCAGCAGCCGCGGUAAUACGUAGGUGGCAAGCGUUGUCCGGAUUUACUGGGUGUAAAGGGCGUGUAGCCGGGUUGACAAGUCAGAUGUGAAAUCCUGCGGCUUAACCGCAGAACUGCAUUUGAAACUGUUGAUCUUGAGUACUGGAGAGGCAGACGGAAUUCGUGGUGUAGCGGUGAAAUGCGUAGAUAUUAGGAGGAACCCCAGUGGCGAAGGCAGUCUGCUGGACAGCAACUGACGGUGAGGCGCGAAAGCGUGGGGAGCAAACAGGAUUAGAUACCCGUGUAGUC